rnacentral:rRNA from 1 species
UACGUAGGGUGCAAGCGUUGUCCGGAAUUAUUGGGCGUAAAGAGCGUGUAGGCGGCCCGACAAGUCCGCUGUGAAAGUCCAGGGCUCAACCCUGGAAUGCCGGUGGAUACUGUCGGGCUAGAGUCCGGAAGGGGCGAGUGGAAUUCCUGGUGUAGCGGUGAAAUGCGCAGAUAUCAGGAGGAACACCAAUGGCGAAGGCGGCGCGCUGGAACGUGACGGACGCUGAGACGCGAAAGCGUGGGGAGCAAACAGG